CAUAUACUCCCUCCGUUCGGAAUUACUUGUCUCGAAAAUGGAUGUAUCUAGAACUAAAAUACAUCUAGAUAUAUCCGUUUCUACGACAAGUAAUUUCGAACGGAGGGAGUACUAC
rfam:Triticum aestivum genome assembly, contig: Triticum_aestivum_CS42_TGACv1_scaffold_148634_2BS